GAUGAACGCUGGCGGCGUGCUUAACACAUGCAAGUCGAACGAAGCAUUUGCGACAGAUUUUUUCGGAAUGAAGUUGCUUAUGACUGAGUGGCGGACGGGUGAGUAACGCGUGGGUAACCUGCCUUGUACUGGGGGAUAGCAGCUGGAAACGGCUGGUAAUACCGCAUAAGCGCACAAUGUUGCAUGACAUGGUGUGAAAAACUCCGGUGGUAUAAGAUGGACCCGCGUCUGAUUAGCUAGUUGGUGAGAUAACAGCCCACCAAGGCGACGAUCAGUAGCCGACCUGAGAGGGUGACCGGCCACAUUGGGACUGAGACACGGCCCAGACUCCUACGGGAGGCAGCAGUGGGGAAUAUUGCACAAUGGAGGAAACUCUGAUGCAGCGACGCCGCGUGAGUGAAGAAGUAAUUCGUUUUGUAAAGCUCUAUCAGCAGGGAAGAUAGUGACGGUACCUGACUAAGAAGCUCCGGCUAAAUACGUG
rnacentral:rRNA from 1 species